AGCCGGUGAUGCGAGAUUAUAUUUGCUACUCUUGAUGGGAUUCAUCCUAUCUGAUGAUUCUUUACCACCAAGAUCUGAGGCU